CAGUCGAACGGCAGCGCGGGAGCAAUCCUGGCGGCGAGUGGCGAACGGGUGAGUAAUACAUCGGAACGUGCCCAAUCGUGGGGGAUAACGCAGCGAAAGCUGUGCUAAUACCGCAUACGAUCUACGGAUGAAAGCAGGGGACCGCAAGGCCUUGCGCGAAUGGAGCGGCCGAUGGCAGAUUAGGUAGUUGGUGAGGUAAAGGCUCACCAAGCCUUCGAUCUGUAGCUGGUCUGAGAGGACGACCAGCCACACUGGGACUGAGACACGGCCCAGACUCCUACGGGAGGCAGCAGUGGGGAAUUUUGGACAAUGGGCGCAAGCCUGAUCCAGCCAUGCCGCGUGCAGGAUGAAGGCCUUCGGGUUGUAAACUGCUUUUGUACGGAACGAAACGGCCUUUUCUAAUAAAGAGGGCUAAUGACGGUACCGUAAGAAUAAGCACCGGCUAACUACGUGCCAGCAGCCGCGGUAAUACGUAGGGUGCAAGCGUUAAUCGGAAUUACUGGGCGUAAAGCGUGCGCAGGCGGUGAUGUAAGACAGUUGUGAAAUCCCCGGGCUCAACCUGGGAACUGCAUCUGUGACUGCAUCGCUGGAGUACGGCAGAGGGGGAUGGAAUUCCGCGUGUAGCAGUGAAAUGCGUAGAUAUGCGGAGGAACACCGAUGGCGAAGGCAAUCCCCUGGGCCUGUACUGACGCU
rnacentral:rRNA from 2 species